AGUUAGUCGGGGAUAUUGCUCGGUACGGUUUGCUAAAGACCUUGUCGUCCACCUGAUAUUAAGUUGUCAGUCGUUCAUGGACAAAGACGGACGCAAAGCCAAGACGGAUUACCAACUAAAAGACGAAUCCACAUAAAAAAAAUAUAUUGGUGCCCGGUGCAGGAAUGAUGCGCAAUUUAUUUGAAAAUAAUAACAUCAUCAUAUCAGCCUAAGAUCUGACAGGACUUGACAACGAAUAUUUCGAUUAUUAAAUCAUUAAGCAUUCAUAGAAACGUAAAAUAAUUUUGGACGUUUUGAUUUUUCCCUUUGAGAACAAUGUUAGAAACUGGAACAGAAUGCGAAUUGGCAGCGCGUCGCGGACAGAGAGGACAGGGGAGUGAGGCGCGGGCGAGAUCAUUCACCGCCGCGCCGCCGUCGGGCGAGCUGCCAGCGGGCCGCACCACGCCGGGAAGCGGAGAGGUGCUGACGCAUAUUGAGGCAACGACUGCAGCUCUGUCCCGCCUGGAGCACUGGAAAGCUUCACGGAAUAUGGACACGAUAAAAAUACGAGUAACAGAUGGUCCUCUCACUUACAAGAGCUAGGGUUGGAAAUUUUGCGUAAUCCACCGAAAUCUCUUGGUGUCGACAGACUUCAACAUUUUCCGAACUUUAGACAACUUUUUUUUCUUAAAUCAAUUUAUUUUGUAUUUUUAGCGGGCUUCUCUAUAAAAGUGUUUUCAAGUUUUUUAAACUGUGAUUUAUUAAAAACGGUCUUAACAUCAACAUGUCAAUAAUAAGCUAUUAAAUUGUAUAACGGUUGAAUUUGGCUUUGAUAAUAUUGCGGAAGAGCUGUUAAAAUUGGAAGUUAGUCCCAACGAAAAAUCGCUAAUCCUGAUUAUCCUAGUAAAGAUAACGGAUCUAACUGAUUAAAAUAUUGAAUUGUCAUCAAUCAUAAAUACGUAUGCCAAAUUUUGAGUUAGUCCGACGUUUUGAAGGGGGUGAAAAUCAUGUUCAAAGUUUCCGUUACAUACAUACAUAGUAAUAAACGUGUGAAGAUAAUAAAAGUUUAUUAAAAACAUAAUAAGUACCUAUUGUAGUUCGUUUGUUCUUGUAGAGGUUUAUCGCUAAAGCUGAUUUGUUACUCUCAUAUCGCUGAUGUUUGCAUUCAAUCAUUAACAACGAAAUGAUUGGGAGAUAGUUACUUACUGAUAUCGAUGGGCUUCGGUAACCAUUUUACACCAGGUGGGCCGUGAGCUCUUUCACCAAUCUAACGGCCGUUUUCAAUAACCUAUCUAUCCCUAGUUUCGGUUACUAAAGAUAGACAAAUCUAUAUUUUUGUCCUUACUUACGUUCCAAUAACCUAUCGACGGGCAGCAGUUCCUAUCGGAUUUAUCUAUCCAUCGUCGGGAGGACGGAUAGCCUGCUAAAGAUAGAACGCUCAUACAAAUCGUGCUUACUUCCGUUUCAAUAUGAGUUUUAAGUAACUCUCCGGUAGGCGGCGCUAUCUCUAGUAUGGGCAUUCGCUUAUCUGUCAAAAUCGGCCGGUUACAUGUUUAUCUUUCGAAAGUAAAUCGCUAUAAUUUAAUAAUUGUUUCUCUUCAUAUUGGCAUAUUGUAGCAGUGAUGAUAGUGAUAUGGAAUUAUUUCAAAUGAUAAUGGAUUGUGAUGCAGAUAGUGAUAGUGAGGCCGAUAUCAUAUGGUUAGGAAAAUAAAGAUCGUCUGAAUUACAUGGCGAAGAUCAAUAAUUACGAAUUUGACUAUAGAUUUCUGAGCAAAGGUGUUGUGAAUGAAUUGCUUAAUUUAAUGAGACCAUAUUUGAGUGUAACGUCAAAAAGGUAAGAUAAAUUUUAACCAUAAAAGUACUCGUUAUUACAACUUAUAUUUGUUUAUAGCAAUAGCAAAAUUAUACCUAAUUUUUGUUGUGUUACACACUCAACAGGAAUUCUAUAAUACUGCUGGAUUCCUAUGGUGCCCUAAAUGACAUUCAUAUACUAAUACAAUAACCUGGUAGGCUAUUUACCUUCAUUCUUAUUACACACUGAUACCUCUGCAUUUUAUAUUUGUGUUACAGAUUCAAAUAUAGGAGAGGAAUUUAGAAAUAGAAAAAGAGUAUUUUGAAUGUGUAAUUUGUGUGCAAUGCAUCAUUGAUGUUUCAAAAUGUUGUUGCUUGAUGGCCUGGGUCUACUCAUGAUACAACUAUAAUUAACCAUUCCGAUUGAAAAGAUGCAUUGGUGUUUGUAAAAGAAGACUCCCUGUAUAUCAUUGAAAAGUAGAUUAAAACUAGAAAAUAUGCAAGCUGUUAUUAUAGCUGCCAUGCUGCAUAAUAUCGUCAGAAGUAUGAAUUUAGAAGAAUUAGAAUCAGAAAUUUCAGUCGCAGAUACAUUACAAGAAAAUAAUAUAAUUGUUCGUAACAAUUUUUCAAAACUUACAUCUGAAAUACAACUAUGUACUUAUAAAUAAUUGCUUCCAAAGAUAAUUUAUAAAAUAAACUCCAAAGAUAA